rnacentral:lncRNA from 1 species
AUAGAGACUUGUUUCCUAAGGUCCCUCUUAUAGUUCGAAUGUGAAAUGUCCCUCACAGAACCAUUUGUUCAGAUAUUUGGUCUCUAGCUCAUAGUGCUAUUGGGCGGAACCUUUAGGAGGUGGGGUCUAGCUAAAGGUGUAUCUCUGGAGGGCUAAAUUUGGAGUUGAUAGUCUGUCCCCACUCCCUGUUCCAAUUCUGUUUCCUGGUCUGCAGAGAGAUGAACAGUGCUCCUACUGCCAUGUCUUCCUCACCAGGAGGAACUGUCGCCUCCAACUAUGAACCCAGGAUCUGACGCUGGCUGGUUGUCUGCCAAGGAGACCCUCAAUUCUGAGUGGCCCAUGGUCACUGGCCCUGGGAAUUUCUUCAGCAUGGCUGCUGACUACAUCAAGCAAGAACCUGUUCCUAAGACAGAGCUUAUAUGAUACAUAGUGAUCAUGAAGUAUGGAGGGACACUGUCACCUUUCCAGAAUAACCCAAGAAGAGCAGUAACUGCCCUCACUGUACCAAUGGAGGAAUGUGAGGUCAAGGAUCCUGGUAGGGGUUCAACAGGGGAAGGCAGGAGCACUGUGGAAUUGGUCAUAGACACCAUGUGAUCCAACACCCAGGGUUGCCAGUGAAGACAAACCUCAGAAGACUCUCAGGACAUGCCCUGGCCCUGGUGAGCCACUAACCCCUGCCACCCUAAAUAACCCACUUGGGACUUGUCUUCCUCUGGCAGCUUCUGUCUGUACCCUGUGCCCACAGGAAGGCCACCUUCACAUACUCUGAAUGUUCACACGCCCUUCAUGUGGGUGCAUGUAAACUGCAGUGAGGACCACGGGGGAUGACCCUGGGUGUGGCUCUCUUUACCCGGCCUCGGCUUCAGUGACACUCGUUUGUUGCUGCUGUCCUGGCUUCCCGUACUUGUCAGUCUUGGCACAUAUUCCCCAUCUUAUGGUCUGAGGAUCAAACGUCUAAGUUUUCACUGGACUAAAAUCAGGGUGUGGGUGGGGUUAAAAGGCCGAGGGGUGGCUCUAUCUCCUUGUAGCCCUAGUUUCUUUGGCUACGAUCCCUUCCUACAUCACACGGAGCCAGCCCUGACUGGUCACAUCUGUCUCAUGGGACAUCACUCUGACUUGACUCGUCUUCUUCCUUCCAGUUCCACUUUGCCAGGACACGUGACAACACUGGGUCAUGCAGGUGACUCCAGGACAAGCUCUCUGUGGUAAAGCCAACAGCCGCCGAAGCAUCCCGGUUUGCAGAAGGGUGGUUCCUCCUGCCCUCUGACACUGGCAGGAGACUGCCCUACUCCCCAAACGACCCGACUCACCUUCCAGAAGUGUUCCUGGCUGAUCCAGUCUCACGCUGACUACUCCAUGCCUUCCGGUCACUGUCCAGCCCCUGUGAAACACCAGCAAGCACUCACGUGUGCAAAGCUUUUAAGUUUAUAGGCGGGUUUCGCAUGCCGUGUCUUAAUACUUGUCUCCCUGGAUUAAAUGAUUAAACAAGAUCAAACACUCGGGGCUCUAAACGCCUGGUGUUACCUCUUGAGCUGAUAAAUAGAAUUAGGGCUCCCAUUUAUUGACCACAUGUGAGAUGCCAGGCCUCUCUGCUCCACGCUCCUAGCACAUUAAUUCACAGAAUCUUGGCUGCCACUGUGGGAGAUAGCUGUCAGUUGUACCUGGGCUUUGGGAAGUGUGAAGAACUUAAGGCCAAGGUCAUGCAGUCAACACUCGUGCACAUUAGCUAACAGUUAGUAAUGUCAUUAGGGCAAGCGUCUCACUUGUCUGUCUGGAGGGCUGGCACAGAGCAGGCCAUGGAUGGAUCCUGUUGAGGAUGAGCCUGCAUGCCUGCAUGACCUGAGCUGUCCCAGUUGCUGUUUCUCAUCCCCGCCCUCUUCUCUUUCUCCUUACAGGCAUCAGACCCUGGAUCAUCCGAAGUCUAACUUAGCGCUCAGGCUGGUGUCUGACAUAUUCUUGAUUCACUGGAACGAGGACUGAAUACUGUCAGUCCCAGCAGUCCUCUGAGGAUGGUUUUAGGAACUCCAUCCUGCAGGAGGGAGGGGCCUGAGAGUGUGUGACACCUGCUCAAAUAACAGUGUCAGAGCCAGGAUUUUGGAUUCUGAGGCCCGAGUUUUUGUUUCGUUGUUUUGUUUUCUCACCAGCGGCCGCCCACCUAGCCACCUGGCAGGCAUUUGGGGGAGAUUCGGAAAUGUUUCCUCUUUGCUGCCAUCCUGUCUAGUAUCUGUGAAACACCCAUCACUCACCAGCUGCAGACAUUCUCCAGAAAGCUUCAGAACACCCUCGCAAAGGUGUCUGCUAUUGCCCCCAUUUUACAGAUGUGGAAGCAGGUUGAAGGAGGCUUCCUAGUAACUGACUGAGCUGCUUCCCGAGGUAAGGGUCAGAGUGACUGGGAUACAGGCUGGAGAGGGAUGACCUGCAAACCCAGCUUGGCAAGGGUUGGCAGGAGCAGAGGAGGGUCAGGAGAAGCUCCUAGAAGUCUCUUUCCCCUACUGGCCUUUGAGGGCAGAGGUGAGAUUUGGUAGACUCUUGAUAGGAAUUGUUCUGUGUGCAAGCAAGAACCGAGUUAGGUGGAGUGUAAGCAUUCUAGCCUGGCCUGGGUUGUCCCGAGUCCCUUCUGGUUUCAGUCUUGAACUUGUCCUUCCCUGCAAUGCAGAGAUGCGCAGGUGGGAGGGGAGGAUCUAUAGGCUGCUGUGUACAACUGGUCCUUAAGGUUUCUAUCAACCCCAUCCACAAUUUUUCCCACCAGCCUCCUGCCAGCACCAUGGAGUGAAGAGCAGUCUGGCCCAGGAUGCUGAGUUGGAUCCACUUAGACAUUCUCCAGCCCCCCCCCCCCCCAGUGCAUCCCUGUCCCUCCAUCCUUGCUGUACAGUGGUCUGCCUUCCUGCUCACAACCAGGCUCGGCAGGAAAAGCAGCCUACUCCUCCAGUUUCCCUGCUUCCUAAACAUUGCUGAUGCCCGAAGGCUGCUCUCAGCUCUUCUCCUGGGUGGGUGCAUUUAUUUAUUCCUCCUCUCAUUCAUUUGUUGAUUCAUUCAGCAAGUAGUUUCUGAGCUCUUAGGCUCUCCUAGGUUGGGAACACAGCAGUGACCCCAGCUGACCGGUCUGUCCUCUCUACAGAGGUUACCACACUGAAUGGAUAGACGUGCCGGCUUUUAGUGAGCAACACAGGCCUUGAUGCCAGUAAAACACGAGGCAUGAUGGAAAGGGACUGGCCAUUGCUUUGGUUUGCAGACAGAGAUCCCAUCAUCUGCAGGAGGAUUUGAGUGUGAUGAAGCCAUUCAUAGGAAGAUCUAGAUGAAGAACAUCCCAUGCUCAGUGAGCAGGAAGUACAAAGGCCCUGGGGUUAGAGAGAACUUUUCCGACUCCAGGAACCAGAGGAGGCUGGCCUUAGCGGUGACAACAGGCAGGAUCUUGGUGACACUUUCUAUUUCCCCGUAAGUACAAUAGCAGCUCUUGGGGGCUUGGGUCUAGGGAAAACUCUGACUUGAUUUAUAUGUCUCUCUCUGCCUUUUGUACUGAUAACAGAGAGACCAUUAAGAGCUCUGAGGUCAGAAGAUGGAGCAGUCAUUAUUUAAGUGCCUGCGUGUAAACAUGAAGAGCAGAGUUCAGUCAAACAAGCUGGGCAUGGUGCCAUGAGCUUGUAAUCCUUAGGUUGGAGAGAUGGAGACAAGAGACUUCUAGGGACGAGCUGGCUAGUCAGUCUAGGCAAAUAAGUGAACUUCAGGUUCAGGAGAGACUCCAUCUCAAAGGAGGCGGAUGCUGUUCUUGAUGACAUCACCGAAAGUUGUCUUUAGCUUUUCACACACUUUCCUGCAAGCAUGUACGCACACACACACACACACACACACAUACACAUGAAAAAAAUAAUUGUGCCAGUUACUAGUCCAACAUCACAGUCUUCUACAGAUACUCAGUAUCCCAUCCUAGCUCCUUUAGGUCUUACACCGACACAUCGCGUUCCAGGAAUAACUUUAUCCCUUACCUUUUCAAAGUUCCUGUUCAGUCCUCAGAACCCAGCUCCUGGGUAUCCUUCUGGGGAGCCCUUCUCCCUCACCCGUGGCAGGAUAAAUUCACACCCUCACUGCCAUUACCAGUUCUAACAACAGGCUCAUACAGUGUGUUUCUCGUCCCUCUUUCCACUAGGUCAGGAGUCCUUCCAACAUGAAGAUCUAACUCUGAUGGUCUUGGAGACCACAGACCUUCCCUAGCCUGGUCUGGGAGGGAUGCCUGGCAAAUGCUUUCUGGGCUAACGUGAGUUAUUUGAGCACUCGAGUCGCUAGCAGAAGCACUGCGUUAGCGAGUCCCCUUUGUUUGAACAAACAAGAUUAGAAGCAUUGCACUGUUUGUUCUUCCUGGUGAGGCUCUAGCAAAUCCACACUUUGUGGGACUUCUGGCCUCUGGAGGGCCCCUCAGUGUUUUCUAAAAGCAUAGCCCGUGAGAGUUAAAAUUUGAAUAGAUAUCUCUCAAGAGCUGGUCCUGUAUUCCUGUAUUACCUUGAGACAAAUGUUUGUUAAUAUAUAUAUAUAUAUAUAUAUGUAUUCUAGUUGCUAGAAUACAUGUUGUAAAUACUUGCGUUUGAAAAUGUACACUUCCGGGAUGCUUUGUGGGUUCCUGUGCAUGUUCACGUACGACUAGAAAUCUGUUUGUCACAGAUGCUUCCCAGGUCUGGUGGUUGUUUUCUCUAUCCUAAUUAAUCUAUUGAUGUAGAAUUAUGCAUCUUUCCCCAUAAGCCGGGAGUGUAUUUAAAAGCUCAUUUCCUUGCCUGAGAUACAUGCAAAUAAAAGUUAAAGACAAUUGAAACGAUGUCCUGUCUCUUUAUCCCACCUAAGGACCAAA